GGCAUCAAAUUACAGUUACGAAUUUGUGGAGUUGCGGCUGAUAUGAAGGAAUAGUGGGAAAUAGGAACAAUAGACAUCGAUUGUGAUUGUAUAUGUUUGCUCAAGGAGUGUAGGUGUGAAUGUGUAUGUUUGCUCAGGGACCAUGUAGUCUUAAGUAAAUAAAUAAUGAAAGAAAGAGGCUGUUCUUCCUCUAACAAAGGGGCUAUUUAUAAAAAGGAUCGGAAACAUUCCAAUGUUACCUAGAGGGAGCACUAAAUCUCCUUGCUAAAGAAAACCAGAUGGUCGGCAAAGGACUGAUAAACUAAUAACAUGGGAAGCGAGAGUAGGCGGGUUUAGGUAAUGAAUAUGUAUAGGCGUUAAUUGAAUAUUAAUUGUUUUAAUGUAUACAUAUUUGAUGGUUCGUCACUUCUGGCAUGUACGCUUGCGGUGGAGUGAUCCCCCGUGCAUCUGCACGCAAUAAACACACUACUUUAUAACUUCCGUGUGAAGUUCUGUACGUCAUUUUGGUGAGCCAGGCAGGAGUAUUUCGGCUGCAGAGCUCAUGCUCCUAGGCGCGCCCCGGGAGAUUUCCUUGGAGGAGCCUCCUCUUCUCAGCUGGAUCCACGGAUAAAACGAAACUUUGGAGCGUUUGAUUUUCCGUGUAUAGCUUAAUUAUCCUGACGGAGUGCGAGUGCAAGGGCGUGGUGGAGACGUGCAUUUUGAUUUCCCGCGUAUAGCUGAAUUAUCCUGACGGAGCGCAAGCGCAAGGGCGUGGUGGAGACGAGCAUUUGAGCGCGAAACGACUGUAGAUGGACACUGAGAUCGCCCAGAUGACACAAGCAUUUCUGGAGGAUGCAAAAUCCAGUAAUGCCAAACAAGGUGCCAGUCAAGACGUGGAAGCUAGUUCAUGUGUGUGGAAGACAAGGAGAUGCUUUGAAGAGAGGUUCAAGAAGCACAAAUGUUGCGUGUGUGUUUUUCUGCUAGUUGUGCUGGUGCUGGUGCUUUCCUUCAUCACUAAAUGCAGACUUCCAUCUGGUGCAGAACCUGCGACGUGCCCCAGGGGCUGGAUAGGUUACAGAGAUAAAUGUUAUUCCAUCUCAGAGGACCAAAAAAACUGGACGUCUAGUCAGACCACCUGUGUGGAGCGUGGAUCCUCGCUAGCUGUUUUUGAAAGCCUGGAUGAACUGGUAAUGAGGCAAGAACCCAACAACAAUACAGACUACAACUUCUGUAUCUCCCUCUUUCCUUGA
rnacentral:lncRNA from 1 species